rnacentral:rRNA from 1 species
GACGAACGCUGGCGGCGUGCUUAACACAUGCAAGUCGAACGGUGAAGCGCCUUCCUUUUUGGUGGGUGUGGAGGAGUGGCGAACGGGUGAGUAACACGUUAGCAACCUGCCCCCUUCUUCUGGAUAACCGCAUGAAAGUGUGGCUAAUACGGGAUAUUCUGGGCCUGUCGCAUGAUGGGUCUGGGACAGUUUUUGUUUCGGUGGGGGAUGGGCCCGCGGCGUAUUAGCUUGUUGGUGGGGUGAUGGCGUACCAAGGCGGCGACGAGUAGCCGCCCUGAGAGGAGGGUCGGCGAUCACACAAGUGCGAAGAGGCGGAGACGACUCCGGGGGGCAGCAGCAGGGAAGAAUAUGGCACGGUGGGCGGAAGGAUGAUGCAGCGACGCCGGGUGGAGGAAGGACGCCGGCGGGUAGUGAACCGCUAUCGGGAGAGAAGAAAGGCUGCCGUGUUUGUGCAUGGGUUGACGGUAGCUAAAUAAAAAGCGCCGGCUAACUACGUG